rnacentral:rRNA from 1 species
AUUGAACGCUGGCGGCAUGCCUUACACAUGCAAGUCGAACGGCAGCACGGGGCAACCUGGUGGCGAGUGGCGAACGGGUGAGUAAUGCAUCGGAACGUGCCUUUCAGUGGGGGAUAACGUAGCGAAAGUUACGCUAAUACCGCAUAUUCUGUGAGCAGGAAAGCAGGGGAUCGCAAGACCUUGCGCUGAUUGAGCGGCCGAUGUCAGAUUAGCUAGUUGGUGAGGUAAAGGCUCACCAAGGCGACGAUCUGUAGCGGUGCUGAGAGGAUGAUCCGCCACACUGGAACUGAGACACGGUCCAGACUCCUACGGGAGGCAGCAGUGGGGAAUUUUGGACAAUGGGGGCAACCCUGAUCCAGCCAUGCCGCGUGAGUGAAGAAGGCCUUCGGGUUGUAAAGCUCUUUCGGCCGGGAAGAAAUCGCACGGGCUAAUACCCUGUGUGGAUGACGGUACCGGAAUAAGAAGCACCGGCUAACUACGUGCCAGCCGCCGCGGUAA